AGCGAACGCUGGCGGCAGGCCUAACACAUGCAAGUCGAACGAAGUCUUCGGACUUAGUGGCGGACGGGUGAGUAACACGCGGGAACGUGCCUUUAGGUUCGGAAUAACUCGGGGAAACUUGUGCUAAUACCGAAUGUGCCCUUCGGGGGAAAGAUUUAUCGCCUUUAGAGCGGCCCGCGUCUGAUUAGCUAGUUGGUGAGGUAAAGGCUCACCAAGGCGACGAUCAGUAGCUGGUCUGAGAGGAUGAUCAGCCACAUUGGGACUGAGACACGGCCCAAACUCCUACGGGAGGCAGCAGUGGGGAAUCUUGCGCAAUGGGCGAAAGCCUGACGCAGCCAUGCCGCGUGAAUGAUGAAGGUCUUAGGAUUGUAAAAUUCUUUCACCGGGGACGAUAAUGACGGUACCCGGAGAAGAAGCCCCGGCUAACUUCGUGCCAGCAGCCGCCGUAACAC
rnacentral:rRNA from 1 species